rnacentral:rRNA from 1 species
AUGUUUUUUCACACACAAAACGAAAACACUAGUUCUGCAUGUUUUUUCCGCAAAAAAGACUAUUUCUGUAAGUUUUAUGUGUUUUCCAAUAAUUGUGCCGUACGCGUAUACCUGUCAAAUUCCUACAUUUUCUUAUAUUUCUCCUGGUUACGAUCCAGAGAGGCCCCGCCUGUCCAUCUCAUUAGUCUGAACCUCCUUUUGGCGCCGCACUUUCUUCAGCCUAAGAUAGCGAGGCGACUCUAUGGCUGUAUGCACUGCAUUGACCCAAGCCAGCGUCACCGCACUUCUUCUAUGUCUUUGGUGCACCUUCCAGGGUGCAUCCUGUCAAUACGGCCUUUUCAAGCCAACUCCUUUCCCUCAGGAAAAAAUAUUUUCUGUACAGAUGUUAAUGAAUAA